rnacentral:lncRNA from 1 species
UUGCACGUAAAAUACUAAAAUUCUAGAUUGCAAUGAGAAGACUACAAAGGUGUGGACAAAAUUGAAAGAGAAACAAAAAAAUGAAAAGAAAAGUGCAGAGAAGGGAAAAAGUCAAACAGAUGAGGAAAGAAGAAACUGACGUCAGACAAUAUUUGGGAAGAGAGAAAAAUAAAAAUAAAAAUAAAAAUUUAAAAUUUACUAAACCCCCACUCCAUCCACUAACAACCUUAUCCCCCAAAAUCUUACCCAUUAACCACAUCUAACUAUCUUAGAGUUUCAGUUCCACCGAAUCUCUAUCAAACAACCGAAAUAAAAAUUAACAUUCACACUUAUACAGGGAUUCAAACACGAGACCUUAGGGCAAGCUAACACCUUACCACUUGAACCAACAGACUCAUUCUUAUAUAAGUUCAAAAAAAAUAUAACAUAAGCCCACCCCAAAGGGAUAAGGCUAGGAUAAAAAAUAACAAAAUUAUAAAAAGCAGGAG